rnacentral:rRNA from 1 species
GACGAACGCUGGCGGCGUGCCUAAUACAUGCAAGUCGAGCGGACGAAUCGAAAGCUUUCUUUUGAUUCGUUAGCGGCGGACGGGUGAGUAACACGUGGGCAACCUGCCCUGUAGACGGGGAUAACACCGAGAAAUCGGUGCUAAUACCGGAUAACGCGAAAUGUCGCAUGACGUUUCGUUGAAAGACGGCGCACGCUGUCGCUACAGGAUGGGCCGGCGGCGCAUUAGCUAGUUGGUGAGGUAACGGCUCACCAAGGCGACGAUGCGUAGCCGACCUGAGAGGGUGAUCGGCCACACUGGAACUGAGACACGGCCCAGACUCCUACGGGAGGCAGCAGUAGGGAAUCUUCCGCAAUGGACGAAAGUCUGACGGAGCAACGCCGCGUGAGCGAAGAAGGCCUUCGGGUCGUAAAGCUCUGUUGUUAGGGAAGAACAAGUAACGCAGUAACUGGCGUUACCGUGACGGUACCUAACGAGAAAGCCACGGCUAACUACGUG